GGAGCCGGAGGGAGAAGGGCAACAGGGCGACGUUCUUAAAGGGACCUCGCAAAGGAUAGAGGCCAGUUCCCUCGCUUCGGGGACCCUUUUAAAAUAUGCAUGUACCCUGUCCCUCGGGACGAAUUUUGCCCCUCGAACCCUUGGAAGGAGCUAAGGUUGACCUUUGAGUGCUGGAGGAAGGAAACGACUAGUUGAGGCAAUCAGGUGCUUCACCCGCUUCUCAUUCCCGUGCUCUUAGCUGAGGCUUCUGGAUCCUCUGAAAGUGCCAGCGGCGCCUGAGGUUGGAAUCAAUGCUUUCCUGACAUCAUCGCAAUUAGCCCUGAUAGGAUUUGGGUUUACAGAUAAGGAACAAGGCUCAAAGACGCUGAAACACACUGACCUUAAUCACUAAGUGACUCAGUCGGAAUGAAAUUGAUGUUUGCCAGAUUUCAGAUAUAUGCUCUUACUAAUUGACAUAAUGUCCUCCUGUAACUUUUUAGAGAAGGAUUUUGGAAGGCUGCCACGAACAGAACUUAAAAACUUUGAAAGACAUUACACCUUACAAAAAAAAAAAAAAAAGUGACAAUUUAGGUGGGAGAUGAUUUGGGGGGUGGAAACUGUAACAAGAGGAAACCAAAUUUUAUGACUCAGUGAAAAGUUGAAGAUUUUUUCCCUCCAUCUGUUGUUUUUAAAUUUCUAUAUGUUCUAAAAGUUCUGGGGUGGGGAACUUUAAUAGUGAGAAAAAAAUGUUUUCUUAAAGUUAAGUUUAAUCUUUUUUUUUGUCUAACAAUAUAAAAAUUGAAUUUGAGUGGUGCUUCUUCAUCCAUACUUUAGCACAUUUCAACCACUUUGGUGGUUCUCAAACUUUGAGCAGCAUCUGAAUCACCUAUAGUAGUUAUUAAAAAAGAAUGACAGACCCCACUCUCAGAGUUUCUGAUACAAAAGAUGUAGGUAGAGACUGGAUAAUUUCCAUUUCUAGGAGUUCCCCAGUGAUGUGGAUGUUGCUAGUCCGGGGACCGCACUUUGAGAACAGUGGUAUAAUGAGAAGUAAAAUUUUUUUUUUUUUUUUAAAGACAGAAUCUUGCUCUGUCACCCAGACUGGAGUACAGUGGCACGAUCUCGGCUCACUGCAGCCUCCGCCUUCUGGUUCAAGUGAUUCUCCUGCCUCAACCUCCUGAGUAGCUGGGACUAUAGGUGUGUGCCACCACGCUCAGCUAAUUUUUGUAUUUUUAGUAGAGACAGGGUUUCACCAUGUUGGCCAGACUGGUCUUGAACUCCUGGCCUAAGUGAUCCGCCUGCCUCUGCCUCCUAAAGUGCUGGGAUUACAGGUGUGAGGCCACUGUGCCUGGGCUCAUUUUGGAAUAUAUAUUCUGGAAGACAUACAACUAUUUGAAGUAAUAUUUAAACACAAACUACGUUUUUAAAUUUACUUUCUUCUUUUUUUGAGGUGGGAUUUCACUAUUGUUGCCCAGGCUGGAGUGCAAUGGCAUGAUCUCGGCUCACUGCAACCUCUGCCUCCCAGGUUCAAGCUAUUCUCCUGCCUCAGCCUCCCAAAUAGCUGGGAUUACAGGUGCCCGCUACCAGCCCAGCUGAUUUUUGUAUUUUUACUAGAGACGAGGUUUCACCAUGUUGAGCAGGCUGGUCUCGAACUCUUGACUUCAGGUGAUCCACCUCCCAAAGUACUGGGAUUACAGGCGUGAGCCACCACGCCUGGUCCUAAAAUUUUCAUAAUAAAACAACUUUGCA
ensembl:lncRNA